rfam:Globodera pallida, Lindley, WGS project CBXT01000000 data, contig: pathogens_Gpal_scaffold_961_contig_3
CAAAAGGCCCUCUUUAGGGCCACAAAUGUGCAAAUGGACGAAAGCG